CGAACGGGUGAGUACAACAUCGGAACGUAUCCUGAAUGGGGGAUAGCCCGGCGAAAGCCGGAUUAAUACCGCAUGAUCUCUUAGGAGCAAAGCGGGGGAGCCGUAAGGUCCUCGCGCUAUUGGAGCGGCCGAUGCCGGAUUAGCUUGUUGGUGGGGUAAAGGCCUACCAAGGCAACGAUCCGUAGCUGGUCUGAGAGGAUGAUCAACCACACUGGAACUGAGACACGGUCCAG
rnacentral:rRNA from 1 species